rnacentral:rRNA from 1 species
AUUGAACGCUGGCGGCAUGCUUUACACAUGCAAGUCGAACGGUAACAGGCCUUUGGGUGCUGACGAGUGGCGAACGGGUGAGUAAUUCAUCGGAACGUGCCCAGAGGUUGGGGAUAACGCAGCGAAAGCUGUGCUAAUAUCGCAUGUGAUCUGAGGAUGAAAGCGGGGGACCAAGCAGCAAUGUUUGGCCUCGUGCCUCUGGAGCGGCCGAUGUCAGAUUAGGUAGUUGGUUGGGUAAAGGCCGACCAAGCCGACGAUCUGUAGCUGGUCUGAGAGAACGAACAGCCACACUGGGACUGAGACACGGCCCGGACUACUACGAGAAGCAGCAGUGGGGAAUUUUGGAGAAUGGGCGCAAGCCUGAUACAGCAAUGCCGCGUGCGGGAAGAAGGACUUCGGGUUGUAAACCGCUUUUGUACGGAACGAAAAGGUUCUGGCUAAUACCUGGGGCUGAUGACGGUACCGUAAGAAUAAGCACCGGCUAACUACGUG